rnacentral:rRNA from 1 species
AUUGAACGCUGGCGGAAUGCUUUACACAUGCAAGUCGAACGGCAGCACGGACUUCGGUCUGGUGGCGAGUGGCGAACGGGUGAGUAGUGUAUCGGAACGUGCCCAGUCGUGGGGGAUAACGUAGUGAAAAUUACGCUAAUACCGCAUACGAUCUAUGGAUGAAAGCGGGGGACCGCAAGACCUCGCGCGAUUGGAGCGGCCGAUAUCAGAUUAGGUAGUUGGUGGGGUAAAGGCCCUCCAAGCCAACGAUCUGUAGCUGGUCUGAGAGGACGACCAGCCACACUGGAACUGAGACACGGUCCAGACUCCUACGGGAGGCAGCAGUGGGGAAUUUUGGACAAUGGGCGAAAGCCUGAUCCAGCCAUUCCGCGUGCAGGAUGAAGGCCCUCGGGUUGUAAACUGCUUUUGUACAGAACGAAAAGGUUUCUACUAAUACUAGGAGCUCAUGACGGUACUGUAAGAAUAAGCACCGGCUAACUACGUGCCAGCAGCCGCAGUAA